CAGGAAAGUUAUAUCCCUGUGCCUUCUUUUCUCACAAAUUAACGGCAGCAGAACGGAACUAUGACGUGGGCAAUCGUGAACUUCUGGCCAUGAAAUUAGCACUAGAGGAAUGCCGCCACUGGCUGGAGGGAGGAUCACACCCAUUUAUAAUUCUCACCGACCACAAGAUUCUCAAAUAUCUCCUCUCGGCCAAACGACUAAACCCCAGACAAGCAAGGUGGGUGUUAUUCUUCACAAGAUUUCAGUUCACUGUAACGUAUAGACCUGGUUCAAAAAAUACCAAUACCCGCCACCUCCUGAAUGUCCCGCAAAUCUCACCUAUGUUCCAGAAUCCCUACAAAAACGCCUAUUAACCCAGGUACAUGUUCCACCCAGUUCAGGACACCCCGGAAUCACUGCCACAGCGCAUCUGCUCAAGAACCAAUUCUGGUGGCCCACUCUGUUAAUUGAUACCACCAAAUUUGUCCAGAACUGCACCAUCUGCAACACGUCUAAAACCCCCAGACAACUACCAGCUGGACUGUUACAACCACUGCCCACACCACAACGCCCAUGGUCUCACAUCGCCAUUGAUUUCAUCACUGACCUUCCCAACUCACAAGGUAAUACUACUAUACUCACUAUUAUAGAUCGAUUUUCCAAAGCCUGCCGUCUAAUUCCCCUGCUGAAACUUCCCACCUCCUUUGAAACAGCUGAACUAAUGUGCAAUUAUGUAUUUCAUUUCUACAGUUUACCUGAGGACAUUGUCUCGGACCGGGGUCCUCAGUUCACCUCAAGAGUAUGGAUUGCCUUCAAACAUCUGAACGUGAACAUCAGCCUCACAUCUUGCCACCAUCCUCAGUCCAACGGACAGACUGAACGCCUGAAUCAGGAAAUUAUUCAUACUUAUUUUGGGCGAAGUAUGCACAGAAUUCUCUCAUGAAACCAGCCACGGGGGAGACCCCCUUUAAAUGCGUGCUGGGUUUCCAACCACCCUUGUUCCCCUGGGCUGGCGAGCCCACCGACCUCCCGUCAGUCACAGAUUGGUUGCAACGCAGUGAGGAGGUCUGGGACCGAGCUCAUACCCAAUUACUACAUGAUGUAAGAAGACAGGAACAGCAGGCUAGCCGACACCGACGCCUCAGCCCCGCAUACAUCCCAGGACAGUGGGUCUGGCUCUCCACUAAAGAUCUACGCCUCAGACUGCCAUGCAAAAAACUCAGUCCCAGUCCGGGAGGAGAGCCGGAGGAGGGAGCCAGACUGCAGAAUCCCCCGCCUAUUCUGGUGGACGGCGAGGAGGCGUAUCGAGUGCACAAGUUGCUUGACUCCAGGCGCCGGGGAGGCACUCUCCAGUAUCUGGCCGAUUGGGAGGGGUACGUACCAGAGGAGCGUUCUUGGGUCAAAGCUGGAGAUAUCCUCAACCCAACACUUACAGAGGAGUUUCAUCGGACGCAUCGGAAACCGGCCCCUCGACCUCGUGGACUACUCAAUUUAAGUUGGUAGAAAUUAAAGUUUGAAAUUAUAAGCAUAUUUUACUUGGAAUUGUUUAUGUUUACAAGGAUUCUUUAAGUAAAUAUCAAAGUUAUGAUCCUGUUUUUCCCAUCAUGCACUGGGUCAUGAAUAAUUAAAAGGUUAAAAUUUUCACUGUUUUCGAGUUGUAUUUAGACUGUUUUAUGGUUGAUUUUGUCGUUAGGUUUAGUAUCUUACUGUUUUGUGAUAUCUGGAGUUAAUUUUCUACUCAAAAUGACCCAUUUAUACUCGAACACUACCCACUGAUUGUUACCGUCAUUGUGUAUGGUGUACCAAGUUUUGAGGUCUCUGUGUUCAUUUGGGUAAUAAUUAUAUUGAGUGGACAAAUUAUCUUUGAAGGAUAACAAGUUGUCUACUUGCUUACUUACAUGUUUGCAAGUGAACCACAUGCUUUAAUAGCAUGGUUGUUUUCUAGUGUUACCUUGUUAGAGUAAAUUUUAUAAAUUGUAAUGUCUAAAUAAAUGUACUUGAGUAUUGCAUUUAACUAUAUAAACAAGUAGAAUUUACGUAAUUCCUUUGCUAAAUUUACCUACCAUAGUUAUGUAGAGUUUACUUAAUUCAGUACUUAAAUUUUACUUUAAAUUUAUGUGUGCAAAUUAAAGGGUACAUAACAUACACAGUUUCACCUGAUCUCAUGUUAAUCUUGAGUACCUACAGAGUAGUACUGCAUCCUUCAUAUCUCCAUAAAGUCUUUAGUUUUAUCAUAUUUAUAAAAGAAAAAUACAGCUUUCUGAUUCUCUCUGGAAAAAGCCGAGCCCCUGGAAGCGUGCCGUGGGCGGAGCUAUAAUACUGAUUCUUCCUGUUGUUUCCAUUAACAUAUAUUCACUUAUGUGCGGAUUUCCAACAAAAGACAGAAAUCCGAUGCAGUUGUACUUACAUGAAUGGGGUCUUUUAUCACUGGGACCGCUACAUGUUUUAAUAGCAAACGAUGUGCAAAUCCAGCAUCGACCUAGGCCUUGUUUCUAAAACAUUUGUCACUGAAAUGACGAGAACACACAAACGCUCUUGCUACACUCCGUUGCUACCCCGGAAAAACACACUGCAUCCACUGUUCGUGUAACACUGGGUUCUUUGGUAGGCUGAACACUGUAAACUUUCCCUCACAUCCAAAAACACACUUAUUUGGACACAUUCUUGAACAAAUCGUAUGCAGCACCGCUGAGGAUUUCCUGGUGAAGCACGUUGAUGAGCGCGGUCUCACUCUCCCCUGGUCGACGUGUGCAUGGGAGUGCUUUUCCGAGAGAAAUGCUCAUAUAAGGAGUUCCACCAUUGUCUACGUCAUUAAAUCCACAAGCGAAAAAAAAAAACAGCCGAAAGUUGUACCAACCCGGAAGUAAGAUUUUCGGCACAGGAAUUUUCCGUCAUUCGUCCAAAUUAUUUUUUAAAACUUUGGCCAUGUUUAGCAUGUGAAUCCAUCUCUUUAACACUGUGAACAACUGAAUACAUGAAACACCAUUGUAGCCCCCCUUUAAGUAAAUUUACUUAUAGUUUUUUUUUUUCAUUGUGGGUAAUUAUAAAGUUAACUCUACUCUUCCUCCAGUUCACUGGAGACUUACUUUAAUGUCUUUUGGGAGGAGAGAAUCAAUUUACGUGUUGUUAAUCCCACAACUCAGAUUCAGCGUGAACUAACAUGGUGGCUCACAUGUUUGAGAAUUGGAAUGUGAAUAUUUUGAAUAAAAAAGGAAAAAUAAAAUUAAAGCGAUACAUGUGCCAUACAGCUAUUGUGGCUGCUGUGUGUCACAUGACAAGCAUGACAUGUCACCAUGGAAACAAUAAGGCGAUACAUUCUAAUAUAACGGUCGCCUAAAAAAACCCUUAUGCUGAGGGCUCAGCUAGAAUAUUUUAAACUCAUGUGUGAAAGGGUUAAUGACCACAGAGAGUAGGACCUCUUUUUUUAACAUCUCAUCCAAAGGAAGGUGCUUUUUGAAAAUAGUGUCCCCAUCACUAUACUGGGGCAUUAGGACCCACACAGACCACAGGGUGAGCACCCCCUUCUGGCCUGACGAACACCUCUUCCAGCAGUAACCUGUUUUUCCAGGAGGUCUCCCAUCCAGGUACUGACAAGGCUCAACCCUGGUUAGUUUCAUUGGGCAACCAGUCUUGGGC
ensembl:lncRNA